rnacentral:rRNA from 1 species
AUUGAACGCUGGCGGCAGGCCUAACACAUGCAAGUCGAGCGGAUGAAGGGAGCUUGCUCCUGGAUUCAGCGGCGGACGGGUGAGUAAUGCCUAGGAAUCUGCCUGGUAGUGGGGGAUAACGUCCGGAAACGGGCGCUAAUACCGCAUACGUCCUGAGGGAGAAAGUGGGGGAUCUUCGGACCUCACGCUAUCAGAUGAGCCUAGGUCGGAUUAGCUAGUUGGUGGGGUAAAGGCCUACCAAGGCGACGAUCCGUAACUGGUCUGAGAGGAUGAUCAGUCACCCUGGAACUGAGACACGGUCCAGACUCCUACGGGAGGCAGCAGUGGGGAAUAUUGGACAAUGGGCGAAAGCCUGAUCCAGCCAUGCCGCGUGUGUGAAGAAGGUCUUCGGAUUGUAAAGCACUUUAAGUUGGGAGGAAGGGCAGUAAGUUAAUACCUUGCUGUUUUGACGUGACCAACAGAAUAAGCACCGGCUAACUUCG